AUUCCAGCUCCAAUAGCGUAUAUUAAAGUUGUUGCAGUUAAAAAGCUCGUAGUUGAAUUUCUGUACAGUCCCGGUUCUGGCUUCGGUCAAGCCGUGGAUUGUGCAUCCGCUUGCAAAUCUAGCUCGGCCUUCACUGGUCGACUAGGGGAGUAAGCCCUUUACUUUGAAAAAAUUAGAGUGUUUCAGGCAGGCAAUGGCUCGAAUACAUUAGCAUGGAAUAAUGGAAUAGGACUUUUGUCCAUUUGGUUGGUUAUUGGACAUGAGUAAUGAUUAAAAGGGACAGUUGGGGGCAUUAGUAUUUAAUAGUCAGAGGUGAAAUUCUUGGAUUUAUUAAAGACUAACUUAUGCGAAAGCAUUUGCCAAGGAUGUUUUCAUCA
rnacentral:rRNA from 1 species